UGACUGCAGGAAGCGUAAUGCUUUUUGAGGAAAGUCCAUGCUCGCGCAUCCUGUGAUGGAUGCAGUGUUUGCGCCAGGUCAAUCAAUAAACCUGGGCUUGGAGGAGUCCAAGACGGCGGAGAAGAAUCUAAACGUAAGCAUGAUGUCUUCUCCUUAAAGCUCCACAGUGACGAAACUAUGGGAAACUAUAGGAAUGCAACGAUAGGAAAGCCCCACAAGCGAGAAACCUAAAUUUUGGUAAGGGAAGUUCUGCGCGGGAAUCGAACCGCAAAGGACAGGUCAAUGACCUAGAUAAAUUGUCAUCCUCGACAAAACAUGGCUUAUAG
rnacentral:RNase_P_RNA from 1 species